CCAGAAGAUGCCAGUGGUGGAGUUCCUGGGUUCAAGUCCUGCCUGAGACGACCUGGAGAGAAGAUCUAGACCUGCUGCAGAGAGUGGGUGAGGGGGCCGUGUCCCCUCCCCGGAUAAUCAAGAGACCAGCUCAGGUGAAAGGUCAGACUGUCAAACAGGAAGUGAAGGUAGCCUCCAACAACAGGGCUGGAUAUCUGGACUGUCCACAGAUCACAAACUGGAGAAAGGACAGAAACACAGAAAAAUAUCUGAUUUAUUGAGACACUGAUCAAGAAUGAUCAUCUCUGCAGUGUCUCAGCUCAGUUACCUUCUGCUACAACUAAUCUGUCCACUAGAGGGAGCACAGAAACUUCCACUUAUUCUCCUUCAAACCUAAAGAUGAAAUAACUGCAUUCAGUGUUAUUCAACAACUUUGUUAAAAAUUUCAAAAAAGAAAUGUUCUUUUGUGAAUAAAAUGAUCUGUACCAACCUGAA